CAGUCGCCGCGGGAAUACGUAGGUGGCAAGCGUUGUCCGGAAUUAUUGGGCGUAAAGGGCUCGCAGGUGGUUUCUUAAGUCUGAUGUGAAAGCCCCCGGCUCAACCGGGGAGGGUCAUUGGAAACUGGGAAACUUGAGUGCAGAAGAGGAGAGUGGAAUUCCACGUGUAGCGGUGAAAUGCGUAGAGAUGUGGAGGAACACCAGUGGCGAAGGCGACUCUCUGGUCUGUAACUGACGCUGAGGAGCGAGAGCGUGGGGAGCGAACAGGAUUAGAGACCCGCGUAGUCCCUGUCUCUUAUAC
rnacentral:rRNA from 1 species